GUUUCUGUAGUGUAGUGGUUAUCACGUUUGCCAAACACGCGAAAGGUCCCCCGGUUCGAAACCCGGGCAGAAACU